GCGUCGUUAUGCAAGCGGGCGAAGCAGGCUGACUGUAAAUCAGUUACGUUAGAAACAUCGGUGGUUCGAAUCCAUCACGGCGCA
rnacentral:tRNA from 1 species